rnacentral:lncRNA from 1 species
CCUUGCUCCAACCCACGGCUCCUGGGCUGGCCUAGCCCCACCACCACUUGCCAUCAUGUGGGAUGGAUGCCCAGUGCUGGCAGAGGGCAAGAAAGCUACAUUGGUGCCAGUCCUUUAGCACCUAUCAUUCGGCAGGUCGCAAGAUCUUUUCCUGCAUCCAAGAAGAAUGAGGUUACAUGGACAGCUGGAGGGCGAGCAGGGCAGAGAAGAGUUUUACUGAGUGACGGAACAUCUCUCAGCGGAGAGGGGUCCUGAAGUGGACAACGCCUACCCGAAGCUCCUGGAUAUUGGUGUUCUGCUGAUCCUUCAUACUUUUCACUGCAUUGAUUACCUGAACUCUGCAAGAGAUUUUGGACUCCAAAUCAAAGAUCAAAGCGUCUUGGAUUAGUCAUUUGAUCUUGGCUUCUGAGGGCUCAUUUGUAGAGUGGUGAGAAUAAUAUCUAACUUGCUAAUCUUUCAGAGACAUUCUGAGAGACAUAUGCAAAAGAAACUUGUAAAUAAAAA